rnacentral:rRNA from 1 species
GCCAGAGGCGAUAGCACAUUGACUACAAAGUUCCCAAUGUACCUAUCACUAAAGUUAAGAAACGUUAUGCAUGGUCAAUAUCAGGAUGGGUGACCAUCUGGGUAAUCGCGAGCUGCUGGCU